rnacentral:rRNA from 1 species
AAUAGCAUUACACUGUGACGUUAGCUACAGAAGAAGCACCGGCAAACUCCGUGCCAGCAGCCGCGGUAAUACGGAGGGUGCGAGCGUUAAUCGGAAUUACUGGGCGUAAAGCGCGCGUAGGCGGUUAUUUAAGUGAGGUGUGAAAUCCCUGGGCUCAACCUAGGAACUGCAUUUCAAACUGGAUAACUUGAGUAUGUCAGAGGGUAUUGGAAUUUCCCGUGUAGCAGUGAAAUGCGUAGAUAUGGGAAGGAACAUCAGUGGCGAAGGCGAAUACCUGGGAUAAUACUGACGCUGACGGUGCGAAAGCGUGGGGAGCAAACGGGAUUAGAUACCCUCGGUAG